ACCUGACGUGUGCACUUCACAACGACG
rnacentral:piRNA from 1 species